UAGUGUAUGUGAGAGAGUAUAGUAGUGUGUGUGAGAGAGUAUAGUAGUGUGUGUGAGAGAGUUUGAUUGAAACGGAAGGGAGUUUGAUUGAAACGGAAGGCAGUUUGAUUACUCAGCUCCUGAUUGGUUGACAAAGAAGAAGCGGUAUUUGACGGUCAAAUUCCGGCACUGUCAUUAUAAUAGUUUGGCUGAAGUGGAGCUGUAAUGGAUAGAAAGAGGCUAACUGAAGCUGUGGGUCUUCUAAAUAAUAAUUUAGGAAAUGGUGAGCUAUUGUCAACGAUGUCUCGACAAUUAAAUUAAGUCCAACAGAUUCUGAUUCGGAGAUGCAGAGAUUAUUCAGGGGGGGAACUGCAAAUCCAGUCAGACCUGGCUCCAGGCUAGCACUGCUACUUCUAGCUAGCUCAAUGGAACACGGAGGACCCCGUUACCAGACGAGACAGCGUUUCGGUGGAUCGUCGUCGAAAUCCAGGAAGAGAUUAUCUGGCCAAUGCUGGGUGUCUAAGGCCUUUGAAACGCAUAGAAGACAAAGAUCUCUUGGUGGAGGAUAUCAUCAUGUUUCAGCUGGUUCAUCGAGUUAGUGGAGCACUUUAAAGGUUCAGGGAGGGGAUGAAGACUCUUGGUGUUCUUGAUGCAAUAAGAAUGCACCCAGAUGCUUUCAGACCGCUGUUUUGUCACGAGCCAUCCCCACUCACAGCGGAUGUACUAGAACUGUCAGCAGUGGGCAGGAACAAAAGAAGGCCAGAGGAAUGUGUGCAUUUUGGAGGGACUACCUGCUGGAUGUUGAGGAGCAAGAGGAACCCUUGCAACUUGGGGGUAUCCUGGCUUU